GAUGAACGCUGGCGGCGUGCCUAAUACAUGCAAGUCGAGCGAACGGACGAGAAGCUUGCUUCUCUGAUGUUAGCGGCGGACGGGUGAGUAACACGUGGAUAACCUACCUAUAAGACUGGGAUAACUUCGGGAAACCGGAGCUAAUACCGGAUAAUAUUUUGAACCGCAUGGUUCAAAAGUGAAAGACGGUCUUGCUGUCACUUAUAGAUGGAUCCGCGCUGCAUUAGCUAGUUGGUAAGGUAACGGCUUACCAAGGCAACGAUGCAUAGCCGACCUGAGAGGGUGAUCGGCCACACUGGAACUGAGACACGGUCCAGACUCCUACGGGAGGCAGCAGUAGGGAAUCUUCCGCAAUGGGCGAAAGCCUGACGGAGCAACGCCGCGUGAGUGAUGAAGGUCUUCGGAUCGUAAAACUCUGUUAUUAGGGAAGAACAUAUGUGUAAGUAACUGUGCACAUCUUGACGGUACCUAAUCAGAAAGCCACGGCUAACUACGUGCCAGCAGCCGCGGUAAUACGUAGGUGGCAAGCGUUAUCCGGAAUUAUUGGGCGUAAAGCGCGCGUAGGCGGUUUUUUAAGUCUGAUGUGAAAGCCCACGGCUCAACCGUGGAGGGUCAUUGGAAACUGGAAAACUUGAGUGCAGAAGAGGAAAGUGGAAUUCCAUGUGUAGCGGUGAAAUGCGCAGAGAUAUGGAGGAACACCAGUGGCGAAGGCGACUUUCUGGUCUGUAACUGACGCUGAUGUGCGAAAGCGUGGGGAUCAAACAGGAUUAGAUACCCUGGUAGUCCACGCCGUAAACGAUGAGUGCUAAGUGUUAGGGGGUUUCCGCCCCUUAGUGCUGCAGCUAACGCAUUAAGCACUCCGCCUGGGGAGUACGACCGCAAGGUUGAAACUCAAAGGAAUUGACGGGGACCCGCACAAGCGGUGGAGCAUGUGGUUUAAUUUGAAGCAACGCGAAGAACCUUACCAAAUCUUGACAUCCUUUGACAACUCUAGAGAUAGAGCUUUCCCCUUCGGGGGACAAAGUGACAGGUGGUGCAUGGUUGUCGUCAGCUCGUGUCGUGAGAUGUUGGGUUAAGUCCCGCAACGAGCGCAACCCUUAAGCUUAGUUGCCAUCAUUAAGUUGGGCACUCUAAGUUGACUGCCGGUGACAAACCGGAGGAAGGUGGGGAUGACGUCAAAUCAUCAUGCCCCUUAUGAUUUGGGCUACACACGUGCUACAAUGGACAAUACAAAGGGCAGCGAAACCGCGAGGUCAAGCAAAUCCCAUAAAGUUGUUCUCAGUUCGGAUUGUAGUCUGCAACUCGACUACAUGAAGCUGGAAUCGCUAGUAAUCGUAGAUCAGCAUGCUACGGUGAAUACGUUCCCGGGUCU
rnacentral:rRNA from 1 species